rnacentral:rRNA from 1 species
AUUGAACGCUGGCGGCAGGCCUAACACAUGCAAGUCAAAUGGUAACAGGAAACAGCUUGCUGUUUCGCUGACGAGUGGCGGACGGGUGAGUAAUGUCUGGGAAACUGCCUGAUGGAGGGGGAUAACUACUGGAAACGGUAGCUAAUACCGCAUAACGUCGCAAGACCAAAGAGGGGGACCUUCGGGCCUCUUGCCAUCAGAUGUGCCCAGAUGGGAUUAGCUAGUAGGUGGGGUAACGGCUCACCUAGGCGACGAUCCCUAGCUGGUCUGAGAGGAUGACCAGCCACACUGGAACUGAGACACGGUCCAGACUCCUACGGGAGGCAGCAGUGGGGAAUAUUGCACAAUGGGCGCAAGCCUGAUGCAGCCAUGCCGCGUGUAUGAAGAAGGCCUUCGGGUUGUAAAGUACUUUCAGCGGGGAGGAAGGGAGUAAAGUUAAUACCUUUGCUCAUUGACGUUACCCGCAGAAGAAGCACCGGCUAACUCCGUG